UUAACCUCAGAUCAGGCAAGAUUACCCGCUGAA
rnacentral:rRNA from 2 species